UGGGUUGAUAUAUGUGACCCAAGCCCAACCAAGUUAGACUUAUAUUGAUUCAAUCAAAUCCACAUGAUAAAUUAUCCUCAAUGCAUUACAAUAAAAAACAAUAUUUUUUAUGAAAAAAUUAUUGCUAGAAAAAUUAAAUUCACCGUAACAAAUUUUUGUUGAUGAAAAAAAUUGCUAACUUAGAUGCUUGUCUAGAAAAGUGAGUCGCUAAUCUUUUGUUUGGUACGAAGGAUGGAUUGAAGGAAGGAUGGAUGGAUGGAUGAAGAAGGAUGAAUAAGGGAGG
rnacentral:lncRNA from 1 species